rnacentral:rRNA from 1 species
CAGCAGCCACGGGAAUACGUAGGGCGCAAGCGUUAUCCGGAAUUAUUGGGCGUAAAGAGCUCGUAGGCGGUUUGUCGCGUCUGCCGUGAAAGUCCGGGGCUCAACCCCGGAUCUGCGGUGGGUACGGGCAGACUAGAGUGUUGUAGGGGAGACUGGAAUUCCUGGUGUAGCGGUGAAAUGCGCAGAUAUCAGGAGGAACACCGAUGGCGAAGGCAGGUCUCUGGGCAUUAACUGACGCUGAGGAGCGAAAGCAUGGGGAGCAAACAGGAUUAGAUACCCCCGUAGUCCCUGUCUCUUAUAC